rnacentral:rRNA from 1 species
UACGUAGGGGGCAAGCGUUGUCCGGAUUUAUUGGGCGUAAAGAGCUCGUAGGCGGUUCCGUAAGUCGAGUGUGAAAAAAUCUGGGCUCAACCCAGUGGAGCACUCGAUACUGCGGUGACUGGAGUACGGUAGAGGAGUGUGGAAUUUCCUGGUGUAGCGGUGAAAAUGCGCAGAUAUCAGGAAGAACACCAAUGGCGAAGGCAGCUCUCUGGGACGUGACUGACGCUGAAGACGCGAAAAAGCGUGGGGGGGAGCAAAACAGG